AAAAAAAGAUUAAGAUUCAAGAUUAAAACCGUUACUUUAUAAUAUUUUGUUAACUAAGCACUUAUCAGAUGAUAAAUUUGUUAAGACACCAUAUAUAUACAAAUGACAUUUGUUAUACUUCAUUGGUUUAAGUCAAUUUUUGACAAGAUAUUUUUGUAAUAAAAAGUCCAAUCUGCACAGACUACAGUUGUAUCUACCUCAUGUGUUACACCUGUAUCUACCUCAUCAGCUACACCUGAAAUACUGAUUUAUUUGGGAAACAGCUAGCUCCAAAUAUUUUAAAUUCAAUUACAACGUUAUGCUUGAUUGAUGCCCAGCUUAUCAAAAUGACUUCUGAUUGUCUUGUUGCAGUCGAGAGUGUCUUGGUUCGACAAUAUAAAAAAUAUUUCUCUCUAUCUAUUACAGUGACACUCAAGGAGGAGACAGCUAGUGCAAGACUUCACAAUAUAGAUAGUGAAGAAUUAAUGGGUAUGUUUAGCGAUGCCAAAGGAAGAUGUCCUAAUGCAACAAUUUGUUUUAUAUCCAGCAAAUUGAGAUCUAAAAAGAAUAGGACUAUAGAUUAUUUAGAUAAUCUUAAAGAGUCUCAACUAAAACGUCAUGAAAUUUGAUCAGAAAUUCCUUAUAAACUGUCAUUCAAGCAACAGAAAAUGGAUGAAAAACAAAAAAAAAUGCUAGAGCGUGAGCUGUCUAUAUUAAGUCUCGGUGAAAUGCAUAAUGAUGUAUAAAUAUAAACACUUAUCUGCAAAGUAACUCGAAGUUUUAGGCGAUGUUAUGUCAGAAAGAAUUGUUGGCAGAACACUCAAUCACGAGUGGUAUGAUGCUGAAUUUGCUAAAUCUGUCAUUUAUGAUGGUAGAGUUGAAAAGGUAAACAAGAGACUACAAGACAGAAUUUUCACUAUUUCUUACUGGAAACAAAAUGAAACUGAUAUUGAAGCUGUGGAACAUAAGAUGAGAAAAGCAGCUAGCUGCUGAUGUUAUAUCAGGUUGGUGGGUUAAAUUUGAUCAUUUAAAUGAGAAAAUGUAUACUCGUGCAACUUGUAAUCUGGUAAAACAAUUCUGUAUUGUGCUUUUUUUUUUUUAAUAAUUGCAUGUGAAAAUGUUGAAAAUAUCAUUUCUAUGUGUUUUCUUUUUUACAUUGGUUGAGGGGAAGGGGGAAAACCAUCCCUUUCCUCAUAUUGUAAAAUACUAAUGUAUGUUCUUUAGUAGAACACACUAUAAUAAUAAUAUACAAACAUUGGUUUAUGUAAUACAACAUUAUUUUCAAUACUAAUGUAUGUUGUAUAGUUAUAAGUGGUUAAUUUUUCCUUUUUUUAACAAUACAUUUGAUUAUUGAAAAAUCAAUGUGUACAUCAAUUAUAUAUGUUGAAUAGUAAUAAAAGAUUAUUUUUAAUUUUUAGCAAUACAUUAAAUUAUUAUAAUAAAGAUAAAAUUAUUUUUAUUUUUUGUUUUGAGUCGGGGUGCAGGGAGGGGGGCGGUGCGACAUACGCCCUCCCCUAAAGUUAGUGUGUACCUCACUAAUGUAUGUUUUAUAGUAAAAAAAAGUAUUUUUACUUUUUAACAAGAUAUUUAAUUACUGUAAUAAAGAUUAAAUUAUUUAUUAGAAUGUAUGAUUAUUGUAUUAGGGUGUUAUAACAUCACAACCACAUCUAUGGCCAGCUCUAAGAUCACUUUAUUUUGUUUGGCAGUGUUCUGGAAUCAAGUUAUGGCAAUAUUUUGUAUAUAAAAUAUAACAAUUACAUUAAAAAAGUGCUUGUUUCUGACAAAAA
rnacentral:misc_RNA from 1 species